AUUGAACGCUGGCGGCAGGCCUAACACAUGCAAGUCGAGCGGAUGAAGGGAGCUUGCUCCUGGAUUCAGCGGCGGACGGGUGAGUAAUGCCUAGGAAUCUGCCUGGCAGUGGGGGAUAACGUCCGGAAACGGGCGCUAAUACCGCAUACGUCCUGAGGGAGAAAGUGGGGGAUCUUCGGACCUCACGCUAUCAGAUGAGCCUAGGUCGGAUUAGCUAGUUGGUGGGGUAAAGGCCUACCAAGGCGACGAUCCGUAACUGGUCUGAGAGGAUGAUCAGUCACACUGGAACUGAGACACGGUCCAGACUCCUACGGGAGGCAGCAGUGGGGAAUAUUGGACAAUGGGCGAAAGCCUGAUCCAGCCAUGCCGCGUGUGUGAAGAAGGUCUUCGGAUUGUAAAGCCCUUUAAGUUGGGAGGAAGGGCAGUAAGUUAAUACCUUGCUGUUUUGACGUUACCAACAGAAUAAGCACCGGCUAACUUCGUG
rnacentral:rRNA from 1 species